UGCCAGCCGCCGCGGUAAUACGGAGGGGGUUAGCGUUGUUCGGAAUUACUGGGCGUAAAGCGCACGUAGGCGGAUUAGUAAGUUGGGGGUGAAAUCCCGGGGCUCAACCCCGGAACUGCCUCCAAAGCUAUCAGUCUAGAGUUCGAGAGAGGUGAGUGGAAUUCUAAGUGUAGAGGUGAGAUUCGUAGAUAUUCGGAGGAACACCAGUGGCGAAGGCGGCUCACUGGCUCGAUACUGACGCUGAGGUGCGAAAGUGUGGGGAGCAAACAGGAUUAGAUA
rnacentral:rRNA from 1 species